rnacentral:lncRNA from 1 species
ACACAAGAGGAAGAAAUGAACACACAGUGACAAUUUACUGAGGGCUUACCCUCAUUAAUUAAGCCCUUAUUUACAUUGUUCACAUAAUCUUCCAAAACAACCCCUUGAAAGGGUGACCAUUUAUUAUCCCAGAAGAGAAACCUGAGGUUCAGAGAGAAGUCACUUGGCCCAAACGAUCACGAGAAAAACCCACUCAGGAGAGUGGCUCUAUGGCAAGACACGUGAACCGAGAGGGCUGUCGUAGAAGAGCCAGCCUGAGGGAAUGUCUGGGGGACCCUGUCGGGGAAAUCCGGGGGGGUCCCAAUCCUCGGACUGGGGCCGACCCGAGUCCUUACCAAGCAGCGGGGACUCCUCAGGGCAGGCGGGCAGCGACAGUGCGGUGGUGUGGGGCACUGGAACCGAGGUCAAGUUGCUAGCGGGGCCAGGGCCAGAAUCCACGACUGGGCUGGAGUCGCCACCCGGGCGCGGCUGGGAGGAGGCGCCUAGAGGAGGCGGCGGCCGGGCCCCUCCGGUCCGGAGCUCCCCGGAGGACUGCCCGAUGGCGGCGGCACCGUUCGAGCCGCCCUGCAGCGGUGUGGAGACUCCGACCAGCUGAGGCAGGCGGCUCAGGUCGCGGCCAGCCAGUGGCACGUUCGAAACCCACUCCCUGACUCAGCCCGGCUGGACCCCGCUGCUUAACGGGGGGUCCUGCGGCAAAGAAAGUGGACGGGUUGCCACUUCUGUGCCUCCCCAUCAGGUAGCCUGGGCUGUAAGGGGCUCUCAGACCAGCUUGGUUCCAGAUGUGUGUGUGGCGGGAGCCCUGUAUACUUUGAAGAGGAGAGCAGCAAGAAGCCUCUAACUCCCAGGCCAGCGUGCAGGAGAUCAGCCGGCGUUACAGUCUACACUGGGCUACCCACUGUCCCAUGAAGUAGCAGUUCUCCCCAUGUCGUAGAGUGGGGCCCCGGCAGAUUAAGAAACUUUCCUAAGAGCCCACAGCUGGCAAGAGGCAGAAUUCUGGCUCCGAAACCCAUGUUUUCCACAGGUUUACCCUUUGUUGAUUUGCAAGUAAGGGCUGAAGGCUGUGUGGGUGAGAGACUUAGGCACUGAAGCCACUUGACCUCGAUUUGACCCAGAGGCCUCAGGUCCUGAGUGAGCAGAGACACCUCACCCCAGAGAAAGACUCAUGGAGGUGCUGUCAGUAAUGCGGUCCCCAGAAUCUAAAAGGUGUCCUUGAUGUGCUUCUCUUGCUCUCAAUGCCAUUUGCAAGCCCUCAGCCAGCUUUGUCAGUGCUACCUUCAAAACAUCAAAAUUCACCACCGGCCAACUCUGAUGUAACCAUCCUCAAUCAAGCCACCAUCAUCUUGCCCUGGGUUAUAUGGCAGCUACUAAUUGGUCACCCUGCUUCCACCUCCUCCAUUCCUCCUCCCUAGUCUGUUUUCCACAGAACAUCCAGGAAAUCUUUGUAAGCAUAAAUCAGAUCAUGCCAUUUUGUUCAGAACCAAAUCCACAGAAGCCCUGUUCAAUCUGGUUCCUAUUUCCCUCCCCACCCACAUCUGUCACUCUACCAUGCUGGACCUGCCUUAGCCACACUAGCCUGAUAGCUAUUCCUUGAACUUGCGGUUGGGAAACUAGUUUCCAUGUCCAAACCUAGCCCACCAUCUGUUUUGUGUUCAUGGAUUGGCUGGGACAGCUCUGCUUAAGGAUGUAGUAGCUCUGCAGGUUGGCUAGUUCCUGUUCUUCCCAACCUGCGCUAUGGACUUCAUCAGAUUUCAGCAUCAGAGAGAAUAUGGAAGGACAUCGACCCUAACUUCAUCCAGUGAGGAUUUCCACACACCAUACACUCUCUGAGAAUUCUCUUGGCUUUGUGUGCACACCUCCAGUGACAGGGAGCUCGCUAUGUCAUGAGGCAGCCUGCUCCCUUGUGGCUAUCACUGAACCAACUAUUAAGCCUUCUUAUACAGACAGUCCCUGACUUACUGUUAGACUUAUGACUUUUUGAUUUUACAGUGGUGCAAAAGCAAUAUGCAUUCAAUAGAAACUGUAUUUCAAAUUUUGAAUUUUGAUCUUUUCCAGGCUAGCAACAUAUGAAGACCAACCUUUUAUUUUUAAAAUAGGCUUUCUGUUAGAUGCUUUUGCCCAACUAUAGGUUAAUGUAAAUGUUCUGAGAAUAUUUAAGGAAGGCUAGGCUAAACUGUGAUCUUUGGGAGCUUAGAUAUGUUAAGUGCAUUUUCAACUUACAAUAUUUUCAACUUACGAUGAGUUUAUUGGGAUGAAGCCCAUUGUAAGUAAAGGAGCAUCUGCAUUAAGCUAAAAUCCAUGUCUAUAACUUCCUCAGUAAUAUCAAGUUUGUUCCUUGGAGCCAGAGAAUAAACUGAAUCCUUUUCCACGUGAUGGUGUUUCUGUUGUUUAAAGAGAUCAGCCAUGUACCUUCUCCCAACCUGAAGACAACUCCUCACCAGGCUACCUAUCAAUUCUACCUCUUUUUUUAAGAGAUGGGGUCUCACUAUGUUGCCCAGCCUGGUCUUGAACUCUGGGCUCAAGUGAUCCUCCCACCUCAGCCUUCCGAGUAGCCGGGAUUACAGGCACACACCACCAUGCCCAGCUCCAUUUCCAUUGUUCUUCAUGCUUCCUUUUUGAGUUCCUUCCCUGUCCCGAUUAUUCUUCUUUGAUUGGGCUUUGACUACCUGGGCAUUUAGUAGGGUCCAUAACUGAAUGCAGCAUUCCAGCCAGGGUCUAAGCAACAGAAUAGAGCAGGACCAUCAUCUCCGC